UACGUAGGGGGCGAGCGUUGUCCGGAAUCAUUGGGCGUAAAGCGCGUGUAGGCGGCUAGGCAAGUCGGGUGUGAAAGCCCUCAGCUCAACUGAGGAAGUGCGCCCGAAACUGCUUGGCUUGAGUACCGGAGAGGAUGGCGGAAUUCCCCAAGUAGAGGUGAAAUUCGUAGAUAUGGGGAGGAACACCGGUGGCGAAGGCGGCCAUCUGGACGGAUACUGACGCUGAGACGCGAAAGCGUGGGGAGCAAACAGG
rnacentral:rRNA from 1 species